rnacentral:rRNA from 1 species
GCGUACACGGUGGAUGCCCUGGCAGUCAGAGGCGAUGAAGGGCGUGCUAAUCUGCGAUAAGCGCCGGUAAGGUGAUAUGAACCGUUAUAACCGGCGAUACCCGAAUGGGGAAACCCAGUGUGAUUCGUCACACUAUCAUUAACUGAAUCCAUAGGUUAAUGAGGCGAACCGGGGGAACUGAAACAUCUAAGUACCCCGAGGAAAAGAAAUCAACCGAGAUUCCCCCAGUAGCGGCGAGCGAACGGGGAGGAGCCCAGAGCCUGAAUCAGCAUGUGUGUUAGUGGAAGCGUCUGGAAAGGCGCGCGAUACAGGGUGACAGCCCCGUACACAAAAGCGCAUGUGCUGUGAGCUCGAUGAGUAGGGCGGGACACGUGGUAUCCUGUCUGAAUAUGGGGGGACCAUCCUCCAAGGCUAAAUACUCCUGACUGACCGAUAGUGAACCAGUACCGUGAGGGAAAGGCGAAAAGAACCCCGGCGAGGGGAGUGAAAAAGAACCUGAAACCGUGU